UACAGAGGUCCCAAGCGUUGUUCGGAGUUGCUGGCGUAAGGGUGCGAGUAGGCGGUUGUUUAAGUUUGGUGUGAAAUCUCCCGGCUCAACUGGGAGGUGCGCCGAAUACUGAAUGACUAGAGUGCGGGAGAGGAGAGUGGAAUUCCUGGUGUAGCGGUGAAAUGCGUAGAUAUCAGGAGGAACACCGUGGUGUAGACGGCUCGUCUGGACCGUAACUGACGCUGAGGCACGAAAGCGUGGGUAGCAAACAGG
rnacentral:rRNA from 1 species